UGGCUUCAUCUGCUUGAAUAAUUUGUUUGUUUUAAUUAACUAUUUAAUAUAUUGAAUAUGUCAGUUUCAUAUUUGAGGCUCUAGAAUAUUGUGCCAAUGUGCCAGUAUUAUUUCAGAUGGGGAAAGUAUAGAGAGCAAUGCUAUUUUAUAUUCUGUUUUUGACAGAGUUCUUAAAACUUGGAGAAGGUUAUUGAGGUUAAAAUUGCUCCCGUUGUACUUAAGUUACAAAAUAUCUUUCUUGUGUCUAAUGCAGCCGACGGUGAGAUUUUGCAGGAGUUUAACUAUUUGAUUGGUUAUGCCUGUGCCGAUUACUCAAAAGACUAUUAGUCAAGUAUUAAGAGAUAAUGGAUGCCAGUUUGACCUGUCAGUAGUUCAAGAGAUAGCCAGAGCGAUCUGUGAGACAAACCUUGUUAGAAGCAAUUGGUGAAACAGGUCUACUUUCCAGUGCCUGGAGGAGAGAGGUUUACUUUGAUGUAGUGGAACCAGUAGGCAAGUCAAGGCAAGGCAAUUUUAUUUGUAUAGCACAUUUCAACACCAAGGCAAUUCAAAGUGCUUCACCAGUAGAAUAAAUACUCAAACCAAAAAGAUAGUAAGUAAUACAAAAAUAAGUAAUUCCAAAAUAUUUCAAUUUUAAAGCCUUUGCUGCUAAUUCAACAUUUUGUAAAUGUGCUCCUUUCCAUUUCCGAGAGACAUCAAUUUCAGAUUGCAAAUCAUUUACAUGCAUGUAGCUUUACGAGACCUCCAUUGGAAGUGGCAAACGUUUCAACUCUUCACAUUGAUGUUCUUAACAAGGAGAUCUCAAAUUCCGUGAAACAAAAGUCUUCAACCAUGGGCAUGAAAGCUUGGCCAAAAGUGUGGCGUACAAUGGACUAAACUACAGGUGUGUGAUGAUUUUGAUCCAUGGCUUACUCAGUGCACGGCCAGAGUUUGUUAAAAGCAUCUAAAUGGUGCUAUUGCAAAACAGCUUCAUCCUUGUUGUGAAGAAGCUCAGCCUGUACGAUUAUAAAUAAAUGAUUUGAAUAAUCGUUUUCAAUGUGUGGCGAGUGAGGAAAUGUCCUUCCUGAGCUACCGUAGGCUCAGGCAGUCUUUGGUACCUCCUACUUCCUGGUUCACCCAUUAGAACGGGUAUAAAAGCUGCACAUAAUGAAGCUGCUGUCACCACGCUUGUCCCUUUCUGUGUUUGAGGCUGGCUGGAGAAUCCAAUGAGCUGGUAGGUUUUUUUUUUGUUAAUAAUUUUUACAGUUCUUAGAAAACCGAUUUGGCCACUGGCGAUCCUUCUGUUGGUCUCCCAGCUUGUCAGGGAGGCCCAAACCAUGUGUGAGCCGGACCAGGUGGAGGAGCCUACAAGUAACUCCAGGCUGGCAUUAGAAGCCACUGCUGUUUUGUGUAGCUUAUUCAGUUCCUUUCUGGAGUUUAUUCAUAUUUGUAACAUUAGUUAGUUUGCUGAUGAUUACUUUUGGUAAUUUGUUUAUUUAUUUAUUUUUUAGGGGGUGUUUGAGGCUGUCUGCAGAGUAGCAUCCCAGAUGGUGGGUCUGGUGGCUGGGCCUUUCAUCUGCUCAUCCCAUUGUCCGUUGUUUGUCUGCAUUUUCUUUUAACAUAGCAUGCCUUGAUUUUAUAUUGUUUGUGUGGAGAAACUAAGUCGGUGAGCGCCCUGUGCCAGAGCCUGUCCCCGUUCUCACCCCGGUGCGGCCUAGUCACCAGUAGCCCUCAAUUUGUUUGUAGAGGCGCAUUUGGUUAUUCCUACAGCUGAUGGAAAUUAGUUUCAUUGUUUUGUAUGCUUACUAUAUUUUAACUAAAUGUUAAUCUGGGAUAAUCCUUUUGCCUCAGUCUGACCUCAGUCACCAGUUGAUCCUUGGUUGUUGGAUAAUUUAUGAGGAAAUGUUUAACCCUGUGCUACCGGUGGUUAAAAUGUCUGUCUUCCAGUUGCUCAACUUCUCAUGAUUUGAUCUACACACUAUGCAUCAGUUAAAACUAAUGCGUUCUAAUACAACAGCCCUACAACUUAUUUCUCACUCAUUCUCUUGUAUCAGGGAAGUCGACAGUCCAAAUAGAAAUCGGCCAAUGGUACCCCUAGAAGGGAUUUACUCACAUGUUGAACUUUACUAAUUGCUUGUGAUCUUUUCUCAGACUGCUAUGGCUGGUUCCACACACACAGAAUCAAGAUGAACAUUGGAAAAAACAAACUUCCAAAUGGCUUGCCAAAGUCACUAGAUAUCUUUACUGCAAGAUGAAGACAACCUUUAGGUUAAAGGGCAGCCUCUCACUUCAAUACAUGGACCAAGAUUUUGGCAAUUACUUUUUAAUCUACACUCUACCACUGAAUUUCAGGGACAAGUAGCAGGCCAAACGGUUGGUUCAAUAUGCGUUGGGCAAGAAACCUGGUGGAGACCGUGGUGCCAUGAGCGCAAACAAAAGAGUCUUGUAGGACGCAAUUGCUGAUAAUGGGCGGUCGACCAACUGACAGAACCGUACAGGUCAAAGGAGGCUCAUAGAUCUUGGGGAGAAGAUGGGCGAGGCCUGGGCUCUUCAUUAAAGUAUUCUUUGUAUGUAUUUCUUGUCGUGCAGGCUGUGUAAUGGCUCUAAUAAAAUGUCUUUCUAACUGUAAAGAAUGCUUGAGUGUUGAGGCCUGUCCUGAAGAACUAUUUGGAUCCUUUAUCUGCUGUUUGCUGUUGGCCAAUGUGUUAGUAUUGCGAAAUAACGUUAGCCUGUGGGCAAGUAGAUGCCAUCCUGUCAGUGUUCCAGAGAUUUUUCAGAAUGGGUUGUGAUUCCAUGCAGGAUGGUCCAGAGAAGGCAGCAGGCUCCUGCCUUGAGGAUCCCAAGAAGUGGUCAAGCAGUUUCAGCCUCCUGUGACGGUGGAAAUAACCAGCAGUCUUUAGUGAUUUGAGUGAACGGACGGUCCACAGAAGACAACAGGGUCUCAUGUGAAAAUUGCCUGCUGACUGAGAGGACAAUUCGUAGAACAAAACAAGCUCCUGCUUCAGGGGCAAGCAGCUUUAGCCUCCUGUGGAAAUCGCCAAGUUGGCAAUUUCCACAACAGGUAAGACUUUUUUCCCAGUAAUGGUUAUCAUGCAGGCUGUGUGACAGGUCUAGAAAGUGUUUGCAACUGUAUGAUUGCAUAAUGUGUUAACUUGCGGUGCAUCUUGUCUUUGGUUGCAUGUCCUGAACUAUUCUGUUUGAACUCUUUUCCAUUGGC
ensembl:lncRNA